AGCUUUGCACAGUGGCAGUAUCGUAGCCAAUGAUGUUUAUCCGAGGCGCGAUUAUUGCUAAUUGAAAGUUUUUCUCCCCCUCGAGAUUCUACAAAUGAGUACCAUUUUAACAGGAAUGGUUACACAGCAUCUUGAAUGC